rnacentral:tRNA from 2 species
GGGCCAGUAGUUCAGUGGUAGAACGUCUCAUUUGCAAUGAGAAGGUCGGGGGUUCGAUUCCUCUCUGGUCCACAA